CCCAUCGGGCAUUUGUCGGGCAUUCUCAACUGUACUUGUUCCCAGGGUCGGGCAUUUGCUUUCUGCAGGUUAGCCCCGGGGUGGGGAAUUUGCUCGAGGCUAAAAAGUCGAAUAUUUACCGCUUGUUUCGCCAUUUAGCCGUACUUUAGUACGCAUGUUUACACGAGCGUGCGUAUCGCAAAUUAAUCAUGGCGGACAUACACAAGACUUUUCUUGUCCAUCCUGUUGAUAUAUUGACUUACUUCUGCAGUUUGAUAUUGCUAUAUAAAGUUUUGAGACUUCAAUAUUUUAAUUAAAAACGUUUUAAAACGAAAUGGCUAUAGAAUCGAUUUUAAAUACAGAUAUAUUGAUACGUGAUAGAGCUUGGAUUCGAUUUUUUGGAUCAGAAAUCCUCAGAAAACUUAUAUUUUGUCCCCCAAGGGUGGGGCAUUUGCGUCAAUGUAAGUCCCCAAGGGUGGGGAUUUUGUUGCAUUAUUUGGA